UACAGAGGUCUCAAGCGUUGUUCGGAUUCAUUGGGCGUAAAGGGUGUGUAGGUGGCGCGCUAAGUCGGGUGUGAAAUUUCGGAGCUUAACUCCGAAACUGCAUUCGAUACUGGCGUGCUUGAGGACUGGAGAGGAGACUGGAAUUCAUGGUGUAGCAGUGAAAUGCGUAGAGAUCAUGAGGAAGACCAGUGGCGAAGGCAGCUCUCUGGUACGUGACUGACGCUGAGACGCGAAAGCGUGGGGAGCAAACAGG
rnacentral:rRNA from 1 species